rnacentral:rRNA from 1 species
CUACGGGCGCAGCAGUGGGGAAUAUUGGACAAUGGGGGAAACCCUGAUCCAGCAAUGCCGCGUGUGUGAAGAAGGCCUGCGGGUUGUAAAGCACUUUCGGUUGGGAGGACUGCUUCUAGCACUAAUAUUGUUGGAAGUUGACGUUACCUUCAGAAGAAGCACCGGCUAACUCCGUGCCAGACAGCCGCGGUAAUACGGAGGGUGCAAGCGGUAAUCGGAAUUACUGGGCGUAAAGCGCGCGUAGGCGGCUAGAUCAGUCGGGUAUGAAAGCCCCGGGCUUAACCUGGGAACUGCAUCCGAUACUGUCUAGCUUGAGUACAGGAGAGGAGAGUGGAAUUCCACAUGUAGCGGUGAAAUGCGUAGAUAUGUGGAGGAACACCAAUGGCGAAGGCAGCUCUCUGGCCUGAUACUGACGCUGAGGUGCGAAAGCGUGGGGAGCAAACAGGAUUAGAUACCCUAGUAGUC